rnacentral:rRNA from 1 species
UACGUAGGGUGCGAGCGUUAAUCGGAAUUACUGGGCGUAAAGGGCGCGUAGGCGGCUGGGGAAGUCGGCGGUGAAAGCCCGGAGCUCAACUCCGGGUCGGCCGUCGAGACUCCUCGGCUCGAGCUCACUAGAGGCAGAUGGAAUUCCGGGUGUAGCGGUGGAAUGCGUAGAGAUCCGGAAGAACACCGGUGGCGAAGGCGGUCUGCUGGGGUGAGGCUGACGCUGAGGCGCGACAGCGUGGGGAGCAAACAGG